UACGUAGGGACCGAGCGUUGUCCGGAUUCAUUGGGCGUAAAGAGCUCGUAGGCGGCUGCUCAAGUCGAAUGUGAAAACUCGAGGCUCAACCUCGAGCCUGCAUUCGAUACUGGGCGGCUAGAGUCUGGUAGGGGGAUCUGGAAUUCCUGGUGUAGCGGUGGAAUGCGCAGAUAUCAGGAGGAACACCGGUGGCGAAGGCGGGAUCCUGGGCCAGUACUGACGCUGAGGAACGAAAGCGUGGGGAGCAAACAGG
rnacentral:rRNA from 1 species